rnacentral:ncRNA from 1 species
AAUUAAAGGAACACGGGAAACCUCACCUGUCCCAGACAUGGAAAGUAUUGGCAGAUCGAUAGCUCUUUCUCGAUUCUGUGGGUGGUGGUGCAUGGCCAUUCUUAGUUGAUGGAGCAAUUUGUCUGGUUAAUUCUGAUAAUGAACGAGACUCUGGCAUGCUGACUAGUUAUGCAUCCCCCAAAUGGUUGGCGUCCAAAUUCUUAGAGGGACAAGUGGUGUUCAGCCACUUAAGAUUGAGCAAUAACAGGUCUGUGAUACCCUUAGAUAUUAGUUUGGGGAC